AUGCCAUCCAGAAGGAUUGCAUCUGCCCAGCUUUCACUGAAUACUGAUCAAAGAGGACAUAGUGUCUGUUAACCAGGGAAAUAGUCUUGAAAAGAAAGAAAUUCAGAUGUUGUGUUUGUGGAGUAGAAGGCUCAGAAGAUAAUGAGUUAGGAACAAGCAAACAUCCUCCUUUGCUGGGGCCACUGGUCUCGCAAGUCAGCCCUGCUGCAUCCUCCUGGUCCUGCUGCCUGCCCAGGGUCGGGGUGUGAUGGGGCAUGGAUCAGUUGUGUGUGAGCUGCAGCCAACGGCCCCCGUAUGGCACUCAGCAUCUCCCAUGGGCAUCUAGAUCACAAAGCUGUUUCCUCCCUGUGCACACAGUACAGAAAAGAAGCAAUGCUGGGAAUUACUUUUUCAAAUGUAAAAUACCAGGGAAUCCUUCUCCUCGACAGCAGUUUGGCCAUGAUGAUGAUCUCGGAAGAAUAUAGUGGCUGAUGUCUUUUCACUAAGGAUUAGCCCGAGCUUCAAUGUAGCCGUCAAGCUGCAACCUUUGCAGGGCUUAGAACUGUUAUUUCCAGAAGUUCCUCUGCAGCUUUGGCACCCUGAAACAACCAACCAAAAAUGGUUUUUGCAAGUACAUUUCUCAAAGGCAAGAGCAGCAAACUCCUUGCUCCCUGCUGAGAGAUGCUGUGGCUGCCACCCAGGACUGAAGCUGAGAUGUGCUGUGCAGGCAGCUCAGAUGGCCAACAUACCUGGUUUGGUAGAGAAACAGAGGGCUUAAGAAGGGAAAAGGGUAUCGGAGCUGUCACUGAAACCUGCAUUUUGAGGCCUUCAGCAUCGCAGAGGCAUCUUGUCCUUCAACCUGGAUGCAGAAAGAAUCAUGGAGCAACUUCCUCAUGUUGAGGGGACAGAUUUUAGAUUGAGUUCUGUUGUAAUAAGCUUGGCAACGCCUCGACAAGUUUGCAGGGCUAUCUAUAAGCUUCUGUCCUAAUCUGGGACCAUCACUAAAGCCCCACUGCACUGUGCAUUUUGGAUGUGGACCCAAUGAAAGACUCAGACCUUUCUUCAGUGAGGAAGAGCAUCCCUGGAGGACCAGCGAUGGACACUGCUGUCGUGCUCUUGCAUUCAAAGUGUUCUGUGUAAAGCUCAGUGUUUUCCAUGGCAAGAAAGAUUUUAAUGCUUAAAGAAGCAUAAACUGGUACAGAAAGGCACUUAACACUACUUUGGGCAUGUCUCCAGUGUUUUGUGACAGCUCCUGAGUGCUGUGCAGUAAGCAUGGGAAUACUGCAAAGCUCACAGCAGGGAGGUGGUUAGCUGGGUUCCUCCAAGUCUUCAGGUGUGCAGAAACAUUACUCAUCCCAGAGCUCUCUGGCGGUAGAAAUAUUGAAUCCUGUUAGGAGUGUGAGUAAUAGUUUUGCAUGAAAUUAAAUCUACUUCUCAAAUCAGUCAGGUUCACUUUUUUUCUUUUUAGAAUGCAGUAGCUCCUGCAGACACAAAGCUAAAUGAAUGAGAAAAUUCUUUACGAAAACAGUAAGAUGGAGCCUACUCCUCCUGGGGUCUGCUAUGGACUUCAUGGGAGAUUGAAGAAAAAGGAUUUGUUCUUCUUUGCAGAAGUUCCUUAUGUGCAAAAAUAUGUGCUGCUUAUUUAAAUGCUGUGUGAACAGGGUACAACUUUGGUUUUUGGCUUUUAGGGAAUGGCCGCAAUGCAAAUAUGGAAUCAGAAAGAGACACUUGUGGGCUAAAGUAAAUUAGUAUGGCCACA